UACGUAGGGCGCAAGCGUUAUCCGGAAUUAUUGGGCGUAAAGAGCUCGUAGGCGGUUUGUCGCGUCUGCCGUGAAAGUCCGGGGCUCAACUCCGGAUCUGCGGUGGGUACGGGCAGACUAGAGUGAUGUAGGGGGAGACUGGAAUUCCUGGUGUAGCGGUGAAAUGCGCAGAUAUCAGGAGGAACACCGGUGGCGAAGGCGGGUCUCUGGGCCGU
rnacentral:rRNA from 1 species